rnacentral:rRNA from 1 species
CAGCAGCCGCGGUAAUACGUAGGUCCCGAGCGUUGUCCGGAUUUAUUGGGCGUAAAGCGAGCGCAGGCGGUUAGAUAAGUCUGAAGUUAAAGGCUGUGGCUUAACCAUAGUACGCUUUGGAAACUGUUUAACUUGAGUGCAGAAGGGGAGAGUGGAAUUCCAUGUGUAGCGGUGAAAUGCGUAGAUAUAUGGAGGAACACCGGUGGCGAAAGCGGCUCUCUGGUCUGUAACUGACGCUGAGGCUCGAAAGCGUGGGGAGCAAACAGGAUUAGAUACCCCCGUAGUCCCUGUCUCUUAUACA